ensembl:lncRNA
AGGCCCUAAGAUUUCCUUUGCCCAGCGGGCAUUAAUAAACAUGACACAAAUGGAGGCUGAGAAAGUGGUUGCACAUUACUUUUGCUAUUUUGAUCCUCUGCCUUAAACAUAGGAACAUUUCUGGUCUAGCCUGCUGGAGGACGAGACAGUGGAGGGGACUGAGUAGUCCAUUUGUCUCAGCCAAGGUCAUCAUAGACUAGCAGAGCAGCUGACCCCAGACAUGUGAGAGCCCAGCCAAGAUCCAGGAGCUAGACUUGCAGCUGACUGUGGAUACAAGCAAGCCCAGCCAAGACCAAAGGAAGCACUCACUUUACCUACAGGUUCAUGAGCUAAAUAGAUGCCUAAUGUUUUAAGCCACUGAAUUGUAGGGUAUUUUAAAAUGUACAUCCACAGCAGCAUUAUUUUGGCCAAUAGAUAACUAAUACUAGGCCAUAGUUCAUCUCAUCAGACUAUCUCCUUGCAAUCACUACUGAUAACUGCUCCUGUGUGGGGUACAGCAGCGCUUGUAUUUUUAACUCUUUCAAGCCUCCAAAUUCAGGACUUUUAGACUCCAAGCCAAAGCAGAGAAUACUUCCUUAGCACAGCACAGCUGUAUUUCCUUCCAACUCUACCAGCAGACUUGCUUACUUUAGCCUCAGUUUGUCUCUUUCAAGCUUGGCAAGACGGAGCCAGAAAAUUAGAACACUCUGGAUUUUUCCUACCAUUUUCCCUAAUCCUACAUUCUCAUCAUUUGCUUUCCAAGACACAGUGUAUGGAAAUGUGAUCUUUUGCUAUUGGAUCUGGCCAGUGGAAGUCACUGACCAGCGACUUUCUCUCCCUCCUCCUGUGUCUCCAUGUAACAUAAGCAAGCCUUGUGUACAUUCUUCUCUUGUUUUUUUCUUUUGGUGGAGAGCUAAGUUAUGCAAAAAAAGAGAGACAGCUAUAGAAAAUCAAGUAUGAGAUAGUCUGACUUCUGAGUGACAUUUUUUUCAUGCUCUAAUUAUUAAACGUUGAUGUUAAUCUUUCAUUAGAAAGGUUUUGUAUCUUAUCAAAUCUGUGCUCCUGUGAGGUUUACUGAAAAAAGUUUUUGGCGCUUUAUCUUGUAGACUUUUUUUUUUUUUUUUUUUUUUUUAGGAAGAUUAGCCCUGAGCUAACAUUUGCUGCCAAUCCUCCUCUUUUUGCUGAGGAAGACUGGUCCUGAGCUAACAUCCAUGCCCAUCUUUCUCCACUUUAUACGUGGGACACCUAUCACAGCAUGGCUUGCCAAGUGGUGCCAUGUGCCCACCCGGGAUCUGAACUGGCAAACCCAGGGCCGCCGAAGCAGAACGUGUGAACUUAACUGCUGCACCAUCAGCUGGCCCCACCUGUAGACUUUUAUUUACUGCGGGUAAAACACUGCUUUGAAAUUAUUAGCCAAUAGGACCAAGGUUCAAUUUAUUUUGUUAGUAGUAUCUGCUGCCAAAGUAUGGUAUAUGAGGGGCCCAGUUUCCUUACACACACUUGUAAUGCUAACAGGCAAUGAUAAAAUAACCUGUCUUUAAUCACAUCCCGCAAAAAUAUAAUUCGAUGUUUUUACUAUGGUCCUCAGGUAUAUAAACUGUCGGCAGGUGGCAAAGGCGUGACUCUGGGUGGUCCACUCAAUCUCCAAGAGGUCCCCGGCCAGGGGCUGGGCAAAGGCGAGGGGCUGGCAAGAACAGGCGGCGCCAAGCUUCCUAGCCAGGCUCAGGGCGCAGCCGCUGGGAACUGGACAGCUCUUUGUGAACCAAAGCCAAGCAGGACGGGGCUUGUGGGGAGCGCAGGGGCUGGAGGCCGUCCCUCCCAACACAAGGGGUCCCGGCCCCGUUGUUUUCUACAAAAGGCCCGCUUCAGCGCGUCCACGAAGCCCUCGUAUUGAGCUAGGAUAGGGCUCUCCCUCUGAUGUAGGGGACUACCCACUCCUCUGCAGGCCCAGCGAGGCGACUGAUUAGAAAUGCCACCUUCAGGGUGUCGCUGGAGAAUCUGGCUUCGAAGAGCCUCAUGUAAGAAGCCGCCUGCAUCAAGAAAACGGGCAGCCGGGCGGAGUCGCGUUUAAAUGUUUCGGGAAGGGCCCCCGGGCAGGCCGGCGGCUGCACCUGGGCCAGCAGGUUGGCUUUCUCGCACAGCAGGCGACGCACCUGGCCCAUGAGCUGGUGUUCUCCCUGCGCAGGACAUCGUUCUGGGUCAGGAAGCCUGCAUCAGGACCGCCAGCGCGUCCAUCAGGGCCGCCGCGCCGCGCCCCGCCCGCCUCAGUCCCCGCCUGGCGUCGCCGGAAGUGCGUGGCGGGCUCGGGGCCAGGCCUAGGCCCGAGCGCCGGCGGGCAGGUCACCGGCAGUAUCGGCCGGAGAAGCGGCAG